rnacentral:misc_RNA from 1 species
UCCUGCGUUGCUUGCCUAACGUGACGGAAAUUGAUCCCGGAUAAAGUGCUAAUUCUCACCUCUCACCWAUCUGUGGUGUUAGGUUGACGCGGAAGUUUSGCCCAUUGCCCUUGCGUGCUUCGCCCUCUCGCGUUGCAAUCAUGGSCGAUNAGGUUGCUGCUAGUUCCCUCGGAUGCAGAACUUUUUGAUGGGUGCACAGCAUGUGUUGCUGUUGUUUACCCACACAAAGCGUUCAUCGCUUGAUGCGUACGACGGCUGUGCCCGUCUUGGUCCCAUCUUAAACUUGUUUGAGUGGGGCUCAUGCGGUGCCGGCGUCGCGCAUGGAUGCUACCUGGUUGAUCCUGCCAGUAGUCAUAUGCUUGUCUCAA